AUGGAGCCGCCCAAGAGGCAGCUGGCCCUGACGGGAGCCGGCGCAGGCCGGGAGGAGGCGAAGCGCCUGCGCGUCGGGGUCGCCAACCCCAGCGCCGCCGGCUGGCAGGCGCCGACAUCGCCGGCGUCGCCGGGGACGCGGCUCAUGCGGCGGACCGUGCUCGUCGUGCUCUUUCUACUGCGAAUGAGCGACGGGAUCACGGUGACGGAAAGCAUCUCCCAGAUUGGUCGCAUGGUUCAGAGGAAGAUGGAAGGGUUUCAAAAGGUUCAGGCUCUUAUGAUGCGCCAAUUGGAAAAUUUCGAGGAGAAGAUGGAGGCCAAAUUGGAAAAUUUAGAGGAGAAGCUGGAGGGCAAAUUGGGAAAUUUAGAAGAGAAGAUGGAGAGCAAGAGCCAGGAAGUGAAGGAGUUGGCAUGUUUUCAUUCCAAUAGACACGCUGAUAAACACCCAAGAUCAGAACCAUAUCAGGAGGGUGCCACUUUGAGUGAACCGAAUGCCAACAUUCGCCUGCGUUUCCUGGAUGGCCUGAAGACUCCAAUUUACACAGACAAGAUUAUAGCAUCUGAGAGCAAUGCGGCUAUCAGGAUUGGCGUCUUUGAUGGUGACAAAAUGAUCAAUGAAGGCCCGCUUUCCAAGGCGAAAGUUGAGAUCCUGGUUCUCCGUGGCGACUUCUGCAGUGACGGUCAGGAGAGUUGGACUGAAGAGGAGUUCAACAGCCACAUAGCGCAAGGCCGGCACAGGCAAGGGUCAGUGCUGGGGGGCGAUUGCAGUGCGUGGUUGAACAAUGGGGAGGCAUCAUUGGGAAAAAUCUGCUUCAGAGAAGGAUCAUCCAGGACUCCCAGUAGGAAGUUCAUCGUCGGAGGAAGAGUAUGCACGAACAGGAAGAUCGGUGGUAUUCGAGUCCAGGAAGCUGUCAUGGAGCCGGUCACUGUGCUGGAUCGUAGAAAUGAAGCAAAUGAGAAGAGGCACCCUCCAAGAUUGGACGAUGAAGUCUAUCGCCUGGAAGAAAUCUCCAAAGAUGGAAUUUACCACAGGAGGCUUAAGGAUGCUCAGAUAUUCAAAGUUGAGGACUUCCUUAAGGCUUUGAAUAAAGAUGCAGACGAGCUCCGUGAAAUGGUCCUCCAGAUCAAGAAGCGCAGUAACGCUUGGGAAAGAAUGGUUAAGCAUGCCAGGGAAUGCUGCCUCGCAGACAGGCCCGAGCUCAAAGCAUAUCACAGUGUAGAUGGGAAUGUAGUGAUCUUCUUCAAUUGCGUGCAUGAUCUUGUUGGAGCAAUUUUUUAUGGUGUUUACAUUUCACGGGACAAUUUUGAUCCGGCUAAGAAGGCUCAAGCGUAUGAGUUGAAAGAGUGUGCGCGCGGUCAGUUGGACAUCCUCCCGUUUGACUAUGUGAUGAAUGGCAAUCUUCCUGAACAAGUUCCCUCUAGCACACAUUCUACUCUGGAUGCAGCAUUCAUUCUUGGGCCGGAUGCCGCGCUUCAACCAAAUGAAAACCAGUUGCAGUACAGGAUCAACAAUAUCACUGAACCAUCUCACCAGAAUGAGUAUAUUCAUGGUGAUCAGAGCACAGUUAACACACAUUAUUACCAAGGAGAAAGUAUUCUACCAGUUGGUCAGCAGCAACCUACAAUUUUCACUGGUGAAUUGCUACACUGGCCCUAUGAAAGAUCAGGUCAAGUGAACAUCCAUAGCCAGAUGCAAGCUCCCAUGUCCAUGGAUGGCGGAAGUGUCAUGCAGGCAUCAACCUCUGUUCAGCACAACCUUCUGUCACAACAAUUUGCUCCUACUCAAGUCCAAGAAAGUAUGCAUGGGAUCCAUUACUCUGAGAAUCCACCUAACCAUGCCGUUGGACCAUCGACAUGGCACGAUGAUAUUAUCCCUGCACGGGAGCCUAGUGCCAAUCUAUUUCCCGGACCGGAUUAUGGGAACUUCUAG
rnacentral:rRNA from 1 species